rnacentral:rRNA from 1 species
GAUGAACGCUGGCGGCGUGCUUAACACAUGCAAGUCGAACGGUGAAAGAGAGCUUGCUCUCUGGAUCAGUGGCGAACGGGUGAGUAACACGUGAGCAAUCUGCCCCUGACUCUGGGAUAACAGCUGGAAACAGCUGCUAAUACCGGAUACGAGUUGCGAAGGCAUCUUCAGCAGCUGGAAAGAAUUUCGGUCAGGGAUGAGCUCGCGGCCUAUCAGCUUGUUGGUGAGGUAAUGGCUCACCAAGGCGUCGACGGGUAGCCGGCCUGAGAGGGUGACCGGCCACACUGGGACUGAGACACGGCCCAGACUCCUACGGGAGGCAGCAGUGGGGAAUAUUGCACAAUGGGCGAAAGCCUGAUGCAGCAACGCCGCGUGAGGGACGACGGCCUUCGGGUUGUAAACCUCUUU